ACGGUGAGUGGCUUUUAGCUCAACAAGCAGCUUGUUACAGAAUAAAAUUUCACUGAAUCCAAGGAGAAGAAAAGGUUGAGCAGCUCAUCCUGGCUUCAGCCCUUAAAGUCCCAUGUCUUCGGAAAACCAGGACAGAUGGUCACCCUAAUUCUCUAUUACAAGCAAUGAUGGAAUUAUUAUAUUUCCUCUUCCUUUUCUGAGGAAGCUCUUUCUAGAUGAGUGGUAUGCAACCUUGGCUAUACCUGAAGAAGCUUUAUAAAAUCCUGAUGCCAGGGCCUCAUCCCUAUAUAUUCUCAUUUUAUUUUUCUGGGAUGCGGCUUACACAUCUGGGAGUUUUAAAAGCUAUGCAGAUAAUUCUAAUGUUUCGCCGAGAUUGGAAACCACCGGUAUGUAAAGAUAUGGAACUUUCUCCGAGAUGUACCGAGUGAAGAGCACAGCAUGUGAUAUGCCGCCACUAUGUGGAAGAUGGAAAAGAAGAAGAAAAUAUUUAUAUAUAUGCAUAAACUAUCUUUGGAAGGAAUUGUUAACAUUGGUUACUGCCAGGGAUGUCAGCUGGGGAUUGGGAAGGAGACUUCUCACUGCCUACUUUUUGACCUUGUGAAUGUGGAUCCUUUCUCACAUGAGGAAGCCCAACUGCUGAGGCUUUAAAAUCAGCCCAACUGCCUCAUGACAGCAGCUAGGGAAGGGCCACCACUGGAACUGGGCAGCUGCCGCUGGAUGCCCAGCGGACUGUCCCUUCCUGGCUUUGAUGAAGCAAGUUGACAUGCGAGAGGGGCCUACGUGACAAGCAAAUGUGGGUGGCCUCCAGUUAAAAGCCACCAAGGAACCAAGGCCUGCAGUCCAGUGACCCUUGAGGAACUGAGAGUCAGCAGAUCCUUCCCCAGUCAAGCCUUCAGAUGAGACUCCAGCCCUGGACAACAUCUUGUGAUAGAAGCUGAGGACCCAUUUAAGCUCUGCCCAGAUUCCUAACCCACAAAACCGAGAGAUGACAAACAUGCUGUCUUAAGUCACUAAGUUUGUGGUAAUGUUUACACAAUAGAAAACUAAUAUAAUUAAUGGCUCUGUUGGAAGAGUUGGCCUUCAGCUGUGGCUCUCAGUUACCUAUUUGUC